rnacentral:tRNA from 1 species
GGAGCCGUGCCUGAAAUUAAGGGCCACUUUGAUAGAGUGGAACAUGUGGGUUAAAAUCCCCCCGACUCCU